GUAAACGAUGUCUACUUGGAGGUUGUGCCCUUGAGGCGUGGCUUCCGGAGCUAACGCGUUAAGUCGACCGCCUGGGGAGUACGGCCGCAAGGUUAAAACUCAAAUGAAUUGACGGGGCCCGCACAAGCGGUGGAGCAUGUGGUUUAAUUCUAUGCAACGCGAAGAACCUUACCUGGUCUUGACAUCCACUCAACUUUCCAGAGAUGGAUUGGUGCCUUCGGGAACUGUGAGACAGGUGCUGCAUGGCUGUCGUCAGCUCGUGUUGUGAAAUGUUGGGUUAAGUCCCGCAACGAGCGCAACCCUUAUCCUUUGUUGCCAGCGGUCCGGCCGGGAACUCAAAGGAGACUGCCAGUGAUAAACUGGAGGAAGGUGGGGAUGACGUCAAGUCAUCAUGGCCCUUACGACCAGGGCUACACACGUGCUACAAUGGCGCAUACAAAGAGAAGCGACCUCGCGAGAGCAAGCGGACCUCAUAAAGUGCGUCGUAAUCCGGAUUGGAGUCUGCAACUCGACUCCAUGAAGUCGGAAUCGCUAGUAAUCGUGGAUCAGAAUGCCACGGU
rnacentral:rRNA from 1 species